rnacentral:rRNA from 1 species
UACCAGCACCCCGAGUGGUCGGGACGUUUUAUUGGGCCUAAAGCAUCCGUAGCCGGUUCUACAAGUCUUCCGUUAAAUCCAACUGCUUAACAGGUGGGCUGCGGAAGAUACUAUAGAGCUAGGAGGCGGGAGAGGCAAGCAGUACUCGAUGGGUAGGGGUAAAAUCCGUUGAUCCAUUGAAGACCACCAGUGGCGAAGGCGGACUUGCCAGAACGCGCUCGACGGGUGAGGGAUGAAAGGCUGGGGGAGCAAACCGGG